CUGUACUUUAUCUGUGAAAACAUAAGUAUCCAAUUGCAUCUAUCACUAUAGAUCUUUAGGACACUCCCUUUAUGUCUUUUAUGGAGAAAUCUAUAUUCAACCAUAUUUUGAUCGAUGUCAGUUUUAGACACUCCCACUGACCCUUUUUAAACCCAUAAUUCAUCAUAUCUGAUCAAACAAUUUGACUAUUCCAACUCCAAGAUUUUUUAUAGACUUUGUGAUCUCCUAUCAUAAGAAGUGAAAUCCAUAAGCUAUUUCAUAUAGAAAUCUGCAGAAGAUCUCUACUCAGAAAAGUUAUUUCACAUCCCUUUCUCAGAGUCGAUGUCGUACAUCGCCUCAUCGUA
rnacentral:lncRNA from 1 species